UACGAAGGGGGCAAGCGUUGUUCGGAAUUACUGGGCGUAAAGCGCACGUAGGCGGAUUCUUAAGUCAGGGGUGAAAUCCCGAGGCUCAACCUCGGAACUGCCUUUGAUACUGGGGAUCUCGAGUUCGGGAGAGGUGAGUGGAAUUGCGAGUGUAGAGGUGAAAUUCGUAGAUAUUCGCAAGAACACCAGUGGCGAAGGCGGCUCACUGGCCCGAUACUGACGCUGAGGUGCGAAAGCGUGGGGAGCAAACAGG
rnacentral:rRNA from 1 species